AUUUUAUCAGUAAGGAAACUGAGGUCCAGAAAGGGGACACAUCUCAGCCCAAGUCCCACAGCUCUGUACUAGCAAGACCUAGAUUAAAAUGAACAUUUGUAGGGAUAGAAUUUUGUCCUUGUUUGUAGGUGAACUGGCUGCAAUGUAGACCAAGGAGCUCCCUGAGUGGGCCGGGGCACUGUUGGUCUUUCCUCACUUGGUGGCUGCCCUGCCUUCUUUAGCCCAGUAGUUACCACAGCUCCAAAGACCCCAGGAAGUCAGCAGCCAUGAGCCCCUCCCCACAGACCAGUAAGGGAAUACCGUCCAAAGGUGCAGGGCACUUCCAUCCAUCUUUCCAUGCAGGGCCACCCCCCUCUACUUUACCCCGGAGGCUCAGAUGAGCCCUCCCCAUCAUUCCACUAGGAUCCGCAUCAUCCCGCUAGGAUCUCCAUCAUCCCGCUAGGAUCUCCAUCAUCCCGCUAGGAUCGCCAUCAUCCCGCUAGGAUCCGCAUCAUCCCGCUAGUAUCCCGUCAUCCCGCUAGUAUCCCGUCAUCCCGCUAGGAUCCCCAUCAUCCUGCUAGGAUCUGGCUUGUAUUGCCCCCAGGCUCUCUGGCAGCCAUCACUGCUUCCCUGGUUUCCCCAGGUCUCAGGCCAUCUGCGUGGGAUCACUUUAUACCUCCCAUGCUUUUUCUCUGGGCUGCAGACAGUCAGCAGGUCUCAGUAAGGACUCACUACUACAAUGGAAGAUCUUGUGUGGUUGGCAUUGGGCUGGCCGAGGCAGCCCAGGACCCGGCCUCCCACUCUCUCUCCCUAUUGCUUUCAGGUCUCCAUUUGUCCACAUCUGAGAAAAUCUUCCGUUUCCAGGACACAGGGCUGCUCCUGCGGGUACUUGGGAGCCUCUUCCUUGGCGGGAUUCUCGCCUUUGGUUUGGGCUUCUCUGAGUUCCUCCUGGUCUCCAGAACCUCCAGCCUCACUCUCUCCAUUGCUGGCAUUUUUAAGGAAGUCUGCACUUUGCUGUUGGCAGCUCAUCUGCUGGGCGAUCAGAUCAGCCUCCUGAACUGGCUGGGCUUCGCCCUCUGCCUCUCGGGAAUAUCCCUCCAUGUUGCCCUCAAAGCCCUGCAUUCCAGAGGUAACCCGGAGUCCCUUCCAGAAGCCUCUGUUUUCUGUUCUUCUCCCUGUGACUCUUAGUGAUUCUGAUGCAGGAAGUGUGCCCGGUGGCUCUGCUGCCGUCACUCUUCUAGGAAGAUGUGGGGGUCAUCUCCAGAGUGGGUGGGUGGGGCCUGGGUGACUCAGCACACAUGCAAAUCAGAGCAAACCAAGAACACCACAACUGGGCCUGUAACUGUGAUCUCUCUCUAUCCCAAGGUGAUGGUGGCCCCAAGGCCUUGAAGGGGCUGGGCUCCAGCCCCGACCUGGAGCUGCUGCUCCGGAGCAGCCAGCGGGAGGAAGGUGACAAUGAGGAGGAGGAGUACUUUGUGGCCCAGGGGCAGCAGUGACCGACCAGGGCAAAUGGCUUAGAAGCAGGCCACUCCCCAGCCUGCUGCCAGCACUCACUGUGCUCAAGCCCCCGGGGCUCUUCAUGGUAGCUGGGAGCUGUGGACGGGAGUCACCAGGUGGUGGGGCCAAGCCAGGGACUCGUGACUCUUGCCCCUCCCUUCACAGCCUGGUCACACAAGGGGCGAGCACCAGGCCAGCCUGGGACUGGCCAGAGCUGGGCCCAAGCUGCGCUGGAAUCGCAGCAGGAGAGGGGAGUGGGCUGCUUCUUCCCAACCACUUCCCAGGCUCUGACAGCCGAGACUCAUUUCCAAGGCACAGCAGCUUUCUAAGGGGACUGGGUUUGGACUGGGUUUUGGACCUCGAGAGGCUGGAGCCUCAUCACCUGGGCAGUGUCUUUUCUCAGAGAGCAGGUUUCUUUAUAGUUUGGAAAUAAAUGGUUCACGGUCCACUGGCUGCCUUGUGUUGCUGGAGACGUGGGGGCAGGGUGGGGACAGUGUGGGCCUGGCCUCUCCUUUCCUUUCCCUGCCUGGGGCCUUCUUCAAAUGUCUGGGCUUAAGCCAGGCCUCCUUCGUUUUCUCGCUCCUGUUAGAACACCAGUGCCCUCCCCAUGGGGCCCCACUGCACCUGCUGGCAGGAAAUAAAUGAAUGUUUACUGAGUACAGCAUUCUGGAGACCUUACAUGUUUUCACAGCCUAGUUUGAAUCCUGGCUCUGUCACUAGCUGUGUGACCCUAAGCAAAUGACCUAACCUGUCUGUGCCGUAGUUUUUUAAUCUGUGAAAUGGGGAUAAUAUCUAUCUCAGAGUCCUUUUGAAGAUUGAGUCAUUAUUAGUAACAGAUUAAAUGUUAUAUAAGCAUUUCUUUUAA
rnacentral:sRNA from 1 species